UUCCGGUUGAUCCCGCCGGACCUGACUGCUAUCGGAUUGAUACUAAGCCAUGCGAGUCAUUGUAGCAAUACAAGGCAUACGGCUCAGUAACGCGUAGUCAACCUAACCUAUGGACGGGAAUAACCUCGGGAAACUGAGAAUAAUUCCCGAUAGAACAUUAUACCUGGAAUGGUUUAUGUUCCAAAUGAUUUAUCGCCGUAGGAUGGGACUGCGGCCUAUCAGUUUGUUGGUGAGGUAAUGGCCCACCAAGACUAUUACAGGUACGGGCUCUGAGAGGAGUAGCCCGGAGAUGGGUACUGAGACACGGACCCAGGCCCUAUGGGGCGCAGCAGGCGAGAAAACUUUGCAAUGUGCGAAAGCACGACAAGGUUAAUCCGAGUGAUUUGUGCUAAACGAAUCUUUUGUUAGUCCUAGAAACACUAACGAAUAAGGGGUGGGCAAGUUCUGGUGUCAGCCGCCGCGGUAAAACCAGCACCUCAAGUGGUCAGGAUGAUUAUUGGGCCUAAAGCAUCCGUAGCCGGCUCUGUAAGUUUUCGGUUAAAUCUGUACGCUCAACGUACAGGCUGCCGGGAAUACUGCAAAGCUAGGGAGUGGGAGAAGUAGACGGUACUCGGUAGGAAGUGGUAAAAUGCUUUGAUCUAUCGAUGACCACCUGUGGCGAAGGCGGUCUACUAGAACACGUCCGACGGUGAGGGAUGAAAGCUGGGGGAGCAAACCGGAUUAGAUACCCGGGUAGUCCCAGCUGUAAACUAUGCAAACUCAGUGAUGCAUUGGCUUGUGGCCAAUGCAGUGCUGCAGGGAAGCCGUUAAGUUUGCCGCCUGGGAAGUACGUACGCAAGUAUGAAACUUAAAGGAAUUGGCGGGGGAGCACCACAAGGGGUGAAGCCUGCGGUUCAAUUGGAUUCAACGCCGGG
rnacentral:rRNA from 1 species